rnacentral:rRNA from 1 species
AUAUUGGACAAUGGGCGAAAGCCUGAUCCAGCCAUGCCGCGUGUGUGAAAAAGUUCUUCGGAUCGUAAAGCACUUUAAGUUGGGAGGAAGGGCAGUAAGAUAAUACCUUGCUGUUUUUACGUUACCGACAGAAUAAUAACCGGCUAACUUCGUGCCAUCAGCCGCGGUAAUCAGACGGGUGCAAGCGUUAAUCGGAAUUACUGGGCGUAAAGCGCGCGGAGGUGGUUCGUUAAGUUGGAUGUGAAAGCCCCGGGCUCAACCUGGGAACUGCAUCCAAAACUGGCGAGCUAGAGUACGGUAGAGGGUGGUGGAAUUUCCUGUGUAGCGGUGAAAUGCGUAGAUAUAGGAAGGAACACCAGUGGCGAAGGCGACCACCUGGACUGAUAAUGACACUGAGGUGCGAAAGCGUGGGGAGCAAACAGG